rnacentral:rRNA from 1 species
GACGAACGCUGGCGGCGUGCCUAACACAUGCAAGUUGAGCGACGAACCAGGGCUUGCCCUGGGGCAAAGCAGCGAACGGGUGAGUAACACGUGGGUAGCCUACCCCGAUAACCGGGACAACCCGAGGAAACUCGGGCUAAUACCGGAUGUGCUCACUGGACUUCGGUUCAGUGCGUAAAGGAAGCUUCGGCCUCCGUAUCGGGAGGGGCCCGCGGCCCACUAGUUUGUUGGUGAGGUAACGGCUCACCAAGACCGCGAUGGGUAGCUGGUCUGAGAGGACGAUCAGCCACACUGGAACUGAGACACGGCCCAGACUCCUACGGGAGGCAGCAGUGGGGAAUCUUGCGCAAUGCGCGAAAGCGUGACGCAGCAACGCCGCGUGGGGGAAGAAGGCCUUCGGGUUGUAAAACCCUUUCAGGAGGGACGAAGGUUCGGCGGUGAAUAGCCGUCCGGACUGACGGUACCUCCACAAGAAGCCCCGGCUAACUACGUG